AUACUUAUCUCUUUUGUUUACUAUACUAUAUCUACCUAUGGGUAAUUCUUGAAGCGUAGAGCGAGCGUUUAGAGCGAGUCGCCGGGCGCUGUGCGCGGCCGCUACUUAUUCUGAAUAAUAUGAAUAAAUUUCUUCACUUUUCGUUUGUUUUAGGAAAUUGCUUCUGCCCUCGACUGGAAAUAAAUUAGCACAAGCAAAGAACCACCCUGUAUGUGCUCAACUUUUUAAUGCUGCUGGUGUCUAAGCUGCUAUAGGUGUAAAAUUGACAGACCGUGUCAGGAACACCGCACUACGCUCCCAAACCCGCAUAAUCGAUGUUGGUGUCGAAACCGCGAAGCUCAAGUGGAACUGGGCCGGCCACGUCUGCCGGAUGCACCCGGACCGGUGGGCCAAGAUAGCGACCGAGUGGGUGCCGGGCGACGAUGGGCGCCGGCGGAGAGGCAGGCCGAGAAGGAGGUGGCGGGACGACCUCGUCAAAUAUUUGCCGGAUUGGGAGGUAGCCGCAUUGGAUCGGGAUGAGUGGAAAAUUAAAGGGGAGGUCUUUGCCCAGCAGUGGGAAAAUAAAUAGACUAU